UCGACACGAGUCCUUUUUUUGUUGGUAAUUGUCGAAUUAUGCGGUAUCCAACGAGAACAAAUCUUCUUGACAACCAAAUGUUUAUACAAUUUUGUAUGGUAUCGAAGGACUAUUACAGAGAUUAAUAAAGCUUCAUGGAAUUCCUUUUUGUAUUGCAUAAAGAAGAAAAAAUGUUCCAACUUUCAAAAUUACUAAGCAAGUCCAAAAGAAAGUUGUUGGACUCCACUAAAGCAACCGCUUCAAGCAAAGCUGCUGCCUUUCGUAGUCGGAAUGAACGUAUUUCCAGUCAGUCUGAAGAGACAAGUUCCAGGGCUACGCUGUUGGAGCGGCAGUCACUUCAACAUGACUAACAUUAUAUGCAGUAUGAGCGGAGAAGUUCCGAGACAUCGCUGUAUUAGCGGAAGGAAAGAACUAGUUUCCAGGACACAGAUUCAAAAGUUACUGCUGGUGUUUUCCCUACUCUUUGGUAGCUUUCUUUCAUAAAUUAUUAUGCAAUAAACAGUGUUUUACAUUGAUAAGAUAACAAGAACGAUAGAACAGUGUUCUAUAUAAUGGUUGUUAACACUUUAUUAUUCGAAUAGAGCA